rnacentral:rRNA from 1 species
UACGUAGGGUGCGAGCGUUGUCCGGAUUUAUUGGGCGUAAAGAGCUCGUAGGCGGUUUGUCGCGUCUGCCGUGAAAGUCCGGGGCUCAACUCCGGAUCUGCGGUGGGUACGGGCAGACUAGAGUGAUGUAGGGGAGACUGGAAUUCCUGGUGUAGCGGUGAAAUGCGCAGAUAUCAGGAGGAACACCGAUGGCGAAGGCAGGUCUGUGGGCAUUAACUGACGCUGAGGAGCGAAAGCAUGGGGAGCGAACAGG